rnacentral:tRNA from 1 species
GGUUGUAUAGUGUAGCGGUUAGCACGUGGGAUUUUGACUACAUAUCAGAAUCAUGUUCUUUAAGAACUUUCCCGAAUCCCCGGUUCGAGCCCGGGUACGACCU